rnacentral:rRNA from 1 species
GUAGGGGGCGAGCGUUAUCCGGAUUCAUUGGGCGUAAAGCGCGCGUAGGCGGCCUGUUAGGUCGGGGGUCAAAUACCGGGGCUCAACCCCGGUCCGCCCCCGAUACCGGCAGGCUUGAGUCUGGUAUGGGAAGGCGGAAUUCCCAGUGUAGCGGUGGAAUGCGCAGAUAUUGGGAAGAACACCGGCGGCGAAGGCGGCCUUCUGGGCCACGACUGACGCUGAGGCGCGAAAGCUAGGGGAGCGAACAGGAUUAGAUACCCUGGUAGUCCUAGCCGUAAACGAUGGACGCUAGGUGUGGGGGGGACCUGCCCUCCGUGCCGCAGCCAACGCAUUAAGCGUCCCGCCUGGGGAGUACGGCCGCAAGGCUA